AAGGGAUGGGAGGGGUUGAUGAAAGAGGACAGGGAUAUAAUGAGACGUCUGUCCAGUUCAGGAGCAGAAGGUGAGGAGAAGAAGAAGAAGAGCAGAAAGACGCAUAAACAAACUCGCACCACACACCCCGGGAGGAUUUAUCAUUAUUCACUGCACCAGUAACGUCCAUGAGGAACAUUACAGGGAUGAAGGAUGAAUGGGUUUUUGUUCUCCUGUUCUCCUCAGUAGUAUGUGGUAUAGGAGCAUAUAUUCCUCAUCGCUAUCACUUUGUGAAUGAGAAUAAAACCUGGAGUGAAGCUCAGAAUUACUGCA